CCUACGGGGAGCUGCAGUGAGGAAUAUUUGUCAAUGGACGAGAGUCUGAACCAGCCAAGUAGCGUGAAGGAUGACUGCCCUAUGGGUUGUAAACUUCUUUUAUAUGGGAAUAAAACGUUCCACGUGUGGGAUUUUGUAUGUACCAUAUGAAUAAGGAUCGGCUAACUCCGUGCCAGCAGCCGCGGUAAUACGGAGGAUCCGAGCGUUAUCCGGAUUUAUUGGGUUUAAAGGGAGCGUAGGUGGAUUGUUAAGUCAGUUGUGAAAGUUUGCGGUGCAACCGUAAAAUUGCAGUUGAAACUGGCAGUCUUGAGUACAGUAGAGGUGGGCGGAAUUCGUGGUGUAGCGGUGAAAUGCUUAGAUAUCACGAAGAACUCCGAUUGCGAAGGCAGUUCACUGGACUGCAACUGACACUGAGGCUCGAAAGUGUGGGUAUCAAACAGGAUUAGAUACCCGAGUAGUC
rnacentral:rRNA from 1 species